UGAACAGAAACAAAACCAAGACAGCAGAAACAGAGGAAGUGAUAGGUGUAGCAGAUAUUUAUCAAAAUCAAGACGUAGCGUACUCAAAGCAGCGGACCUCCAAACCACAGAGCGCCUGUCAACACCAUGAUGACGCAGGUGAAGCCGAACAAGAUUCUGUGUACCAAAACGUCACCACAGCAGAUGAUAUCUACUGUAAUCAAAUUUUCAUUAAAGCCAAUAGGAGAUGAACAACAUGCACAUCUGUGAUCAAACCUUGCAUUUUUGGGUCACAUCUGUACCCAAAUGAUCCUGUUUGUAUCUCAAUUAACAGUUAUCCAGCACAUAUUCACGUACCGCUAUGGUCCAACCUUUUCAUUGUCUUACUGAAAACUACAGUAACAUAAUUAUUUGUACAGAUUUGUUUUAUAAUUACUAUCAGUUAUAUUGAGUACUUAUUGUCAUUGCUUAUUUAAUUUCUUCAACUUAGAUUUUACAUUUUUGCUUUUACUUUUACAUUCAUUAUGAUUGCUUAUUGUUAAUAUAACUGUUACACACCUGCAAUAUAAGACUUGUAGUCAUGAUAACCAGUUCCCCUACAAGGUAAAUACCCCAAAUGUAAGUUACCUUCAUGAAUGCACCUUUAGUUUAAGUGAAUAAAUAAACAAAAUGAAACAACUG